ACGCACGCUGGCGGCGUGCUUAACACCUGCAAGUCGAACGGAAAGGCCCUGCUUUUGUGGGGUGCUCGAGUGGCGAACGGGUGAGUAACACGUGAGUAACCUGCCCUUGACUUUGGGAUAACUUCAGGAAACUGGGGCUAAUACCGGAUAGGAGCUCCUGCUGCAUGGUGGGGGUUGGAAAGUUUCGGCGGUUGGGGAUGGACUCGCGGCUUAUCAGCUUGUUGGUGGGGUAGUGGCUUACCAAGGCUUUGACGGGUAGCCGGCCUGAGAGGGUGACCGGCCACAUUGGGACUGAGAUACGGCCCAGACUCCUACGGGAGGCAGCAGUGGGGAAUAUUGCACAAUGGGCGGAAGCCUGAUGCAGCAACGCCGCGUGCGGAUGACGGCCUUCGGGUUGUAAACCGCUUUCGCCUGUGACGAAGCGUGAGUGACGGUAAUGGGUAAAGAAGCACCGGCUAACUACGUG
rnacentral:rRNA from 1 species